CUAGCAAAAUGCACCAGGCGCCAUGUUGGAAGACCAAAGUCAGCCUGUUGGAAGUUAUCCAAUCGUUCACAUGGCUGGCUGCCUUUUGCUACCACUUGAAACUUCGGAAGAUUGCCCAUUAUUUCGUUUUUUAAGGACCCAGAAAACGGAGGAAUUUGGAGAACCUAUUCAAGAAAAUCUGUGCCUCAACACAAUCCUGUCUCAGCGCUCUACGGGCAAUUCCUUCGACCUCAAAACUUUGAUCUGACAUACACUGUCAACUUUAUAUAGACAGUGAACUUCACAAAGUGAUUUGCCCCGCUGAGGAGCUAUGAGUCUGAGCAGGCUGAUCUGGGUACCGCGAGGUAUCCAAUCCACGGG